rnacentral:misc_RNA from 1 species
GAUGAAGAACGUAGUGAAAUGCGAUAAGUAAUGCGAAUUGCAGAAUUCAGUGAGUCAUCGAAUCUUUGAACGCACAUUGCGCCCUGUGGUAUUCCGCAGGGCAUGCCUGUUCGAGCGUCAUUUCAACCCUCAAGCUCUGCUUGGUGUUGGGCCCUGCCCGCUGCGGCCGGCCCUAAAGACAGUGGCGGUGCCGCCUGGCCCUGAGCGUAGUACAUCUCUCGCUCCAGUGCCCGGUGGUAGCCUGCCAGAACCCCAACUCUCGUGGUUGACCUCGGAUCAGGUAGGGAUACCCACUGAACUUAAGCAUAUCAAUAAGCGGAGGA